rnacentral:lncRNA from 1 species
AACCAGCAAAGGGAUGAAAAGCAAACUGCUGUGAAGAGUGCCCCAUGCCAAGUCCAGGACAAGAGAAAAAACCAGGAAAGGAUGCACCAUUGCUAAAUUGCUGGCCAAACUGUGUAGGACUUCCAAAUUGUGAAGGACCACAGUAAGGAGGAAAACCAAACUGAGGCAUCAUAUGCAUCAUAGGAAAAUUAGGAAAAUUCAUGCCAAAACCAGAGUUCAUGCCAAACAUGCCAG